CAGCCGCGCUGUGCGCUGCGGACGGACGCUCACGGCCGGGUUCGCCCCGCCGCCCCGCCGCCCGCCCGACUUCUGCUGGAGCGUGGGAUUCACUGAGCCUCGCUUUAUCCCGGCCGGCAUCGCCUCGCCCGGCUGGCGCCAGGGGCGUCCUCGCGCAGUCGUUCGGGAGGAAUGAUCCAUUCUCCGUCAGGCUGUGUGAGCCCGUCCCUAUCACUGCAGGCUCUGCAGGCAGGCAGGUUCUGGGUGGUUUCCGCAUGACCCUCCCCUGCCUCGGCAUACAGAAAGAGCUCACAAUCUGGAGUGACAGUGCCUCCAUUCUACAGGUCUUACUGUCUUUUCCUCUUCAUGUUCAUUCACGAUAGUAAAAAGUUGUUACAGAAGAGAUUUUCUCACCCCUUGGCUUCCCAUCGCUCCCUACUUUGGAUGGAGGAGGGCAGCUUUGUUGACAUUGUGAAGGAGCUCAGUUUUAGGGUUCAAGGAGAGCAGGGCUGGCGCUGAAGGAAGAACUGAGGGCAGAAGGGACAACAAGGCACAGCAGCAAGCAAGGACUACCAAUGGAGAACAGGAUCCAUACGUCCACCUGGAACGGACUUGGUGAAGACAAGAUGUGCCACCAACCCAGGACCUCUGAAUGGUCAACAGAUAGCAGAGUGGCCCCUCUGGAGAUGUACUGCACUUACCCACAUGGCUUAACCCACAGGAGUAACCAAGCAGUGAAGCUCAGGGUUGGGGGUGGGAAACCCCCCGGAAGCGAAACCCAAGUGCACUGGGAAUUCCGAACUGGGAGUAAAGCACCGUGAUGGGGAGCAGGCCCUGCACCAGGCUCACUGGAGCUGCCGCUGGAGCAGAAAGCAGGAGAAUGGCAAAUGGCUAAUGUAUCCAAAAAGUUGGGAGUCUGUUUCUCACCUAUGUUUCACGUCAUUAUCCCAAGAAGUACUGGGGAAGGGCUUUGUAAGAAGAGUGGUGCGUAAACCUGUAUCAUUCCAUCCUGCAUCUCACAGAGAAGUUGGGUUGAUCCAGGAGAAGGGAAGAGGAGACACCCAUGAAGAGCUGACAAGAAGACAUAGGCAGGGUGGGGGGUGGGGGGGUAUGCAUCCGAAGGCCACAGCAGGAGCCCCUCAGUUGGUCUGGAGGUGGCCUGGCACAACCAGCUCAGGACUCUGGCUGGGGAGGGAAGGUAGGAGAGGCGCUGGGGAUGGAUUUGGACUGCCUGCCGAUGGCAUGUGCUCCCCAGGGAAAGGUUACAGCAGUGCCGAUGGCCGUGCUGUACCUUCCCGCUCAUUGGCUUGAGAAGCCUUAGGAGGUAAGAAUUCUUGGGGCAUCUCAUGCGGCUGAGCGGUUACCAGAAGCCACAAAGACCCUCAGUUCCGUGAAGGAUGGAGGCAGGCACUGGAGCAGCCAGCCCAGGGAGAGACUCGGGGCUGGCCAUGCUUCCCACGGCCUGACCACCCCCCUGCAUGGGGUCCCCAGCACAGGGCACGCCAUCAUGUCCCCCAGCUUAGAAAGGGAAGGCCCUCCCUUGAACCUGUGCCUAUCCACUCGCGUUUUUCAGGAGUUGUAGGUAUGCACUGUUUCCACUUCUUACCCCCUUCAGGUUGGACUUGAUGGCACUUCUCAGGUGCAGUGGAGCCGCUUGAACAGGGACAAAAGCCCUCAACAGGCAGCACAAGGCCAGUGCGCCGGUGCAAACUCCAGCAGAGGUGGGAGGUGGUCAGCCAGCGCAGGGGCGGCCCUGGAAGGCUUUGAUAGGUCAAGAGCAGGAAGUGACUCUCCUCUGUGCAUUUCCCCUUCUCAGGAACCCGCACCACGGCCACCCAGCUAGAAGAAUCAGCUGACUAAUUGCUUUCGCUGCCGCCCGCAGGCAGCCCAACAGCACCCUCUCCUGGCUCCACUUCCCCUGACCCUCAAAUCCGCUGGGGGCUGGAGUCGGGGUACUCAGGGUUGGGGUGGGUUCUCUCCCUGCAAAACCCUCCUGAGCUCCGGCCGACUCCCUGAGAAGCCUGUCUUCCCUGACCUAAACCAACUCAAACUUCUGACCCUGUUCAACCUUUCAUCAGAGUAGCCAGCACAAAAUAUGGCAUAGAUUUACUUGUUUGUGGUCCAUCUCACCCACUGGAAGGAGGGUAAGGGCAAGACCUACCCCACUUUUCUGGUCUAUUUACCACUGUUUCCCUAGCUAGUUUUGACGGAUUCCUGGGGCUCAGGAGAUGGAAAGGGAGAAAGAGCCAAGAGUGUCCUUUUUCUAGGAAUGGGAUGUGGGCUUAUAAUAAAUCACAAGACCUCA